GUGGGGAAUUUUGGACAAUGGGCGAAAGCCUGAUCCAGCAAUGCCGCGUGCAGGAUGAAGGCCCUCGGGUUGUAAACUGCUUUUGUACGGAACGAAAAGCCUGGGGCUAAUAUCCCCGGGUCAUGACGGUACCGUAAGAAUAAGCACCGGCUAACUACGUGCCAGCAGCCGCGGUAAUACGUAGGGUGCAAGCGUUAAUCGGAAUUACUGGGCGUAAAGCGUGCGCAGGCGGUUUUGUAAGACAGUGGUGAAAUCCCCGGGCUCAACCUGGGAACUGCCAUUGUGACUGCAAGGCUAGAGUGCGGCAGAGGGGGAUGGAAUUCCGCGUGUAGCAGUGAAAUGCGUAGAGAUGCGGAGGAACACCGAUGGCGAAGGCAGCCUCCUGGGAUAACACUGACGCUCAGGCACGAAAGCGUGGGGAGCAAACAGGAUUAGAAACCCUGGUAGUCC
rnacentral:rRNA from 1 species